GUAGGUGAACCUGCGGAAGGAUCAUUUGUGAAAAAUUUAAUGUUUUUUUUGAAGAGGGGUAAAAUCCUUUAUAGAAAAACAUAAAAAAGAGAUUUCUUGUGGUUUAUAAAUGAUUUUUUAAAGAAAAAUUGUUUGUUGUUGGAAUCUUUCUAAUGACAAACAAUUAUAUUUUUAAAAAUCAAUUUUUUAUAAAAACUAUUUUAAACAUGUAUUAAAAAAUUAACAGUUUUAAAAAAAUAAAUUAAAAAAAAUUAAAACUGUCAACGGUGGAUCUCUUGGCUCGU
rnacentral:misc_RNA from 1 species